rnacentral:tRNA from 1 species
GGAGGAUUAGCUCAGUUGGGAGAGCGCUUGCUUGACGUGCAAGAGGUCGAGGGUUCGAGUCCCUCAUCGUCCACCA